AAGCGUGCGCAGGCGGUUUUUGUAAGUCUGAUGUGAAAUCCCCGGGCUCAACCUGGGAAUUGCAUUGGAGACUGCAAGGCUAGAAUCUGGCAGAGGGGGGUAGAAUUCCACGUGUAGCAGUGAAAUGCGUAGAUAUGUGGAGGAACACCGAUGGCGAAGGCAGCCCCCUGGGUCAAGAUUGACGCUCAUGCACGAAAGCGUGGGGAGCAAACAGGAUUAGAUACCCUUGU
rnacentral:rRNA from 1 species